GACGAACGCUGGCGGCGUGCUUAACACAUGCAAGUCGAGCGGUAAGGCCCUUUCGGGGGUACACGAACGGCGAACGGGUGAGUAACACGUGGGUGACCUGCCCUCAGCUCUGGGAUAAGCCUGGGAAACCGGGUCUAAUACUGGAUAUGACUCCAUGACGCAUGUUGUGGGGUGGAAAGCCUUGUGCGGCUGAGGAUGGGCCCGCGGCCUAUCAGCUUGUUGGUGGGGUGAUGGCCUACCAAGCGACGACGGUAGCCGGCCUGAGAGGGCGACCGGCCACACUGGGACUGAGACACGGCCCAGACUCCUACGGGAGGCAGCAGUGGGGAAUCUUGCGCAAUGGGCGAAAGCCUGACGCAGCGACG
rnacentral:rRNA from 1 species